rnacentral:rRNA from 1 species
CGGCCGCGGUAUUUUGACCGUGCGAAGGUAGCGUAAUCACUUGUCUUUUAAAUGAAGACCUGUAUGAAUGGCAUAACGAGGGCCAAGCUGUCUCCUUUCUCCAGUCAAUGAAAUUGAUCUGCCCGUGCAGAAGCGGGCAUAUCUACAUAAGACGAGAAGACCCUAUGGAGCUUAAGACACCAAAACAGACCGCGUUAAAAUACCCCAUCACGGGAUUAAACAAAGCGGCCCCUGUUUAUUUGUCUUUGGUUGGGGCGACCACGGGGGAAACAAAGCCCCCAAGCGGAACGGGACACCCUCCCUUAAAGUAAGCNCUACAGGCCAAGCUCCCAGAAAAUCUGACCGACAAGAUCCGGCAAAGCCGAUCAACGGACCGAGUUACCCUAGGGAUAACAGCGCAAUCCCCUUUUAGAGCCCACAUCGACAAGGGGGUUUACGACCUCGAUGUUGGAUCAGGACUUCCUAAUGGUGCAGCCGCUAUUA